AGUGAACGCUGGCGGUAGGCCUAACACAUGCAAGUCGAACGGCAGCACAGUAAGAGCUUGCUCUUACGGGUGGCGAGUGGCGGACGGGUGAGGAAUACAUCGGAAUCUACUUUUUCGUGGGGGAUAACGUAGGGAAACUUACGCUAAUACCGCAUACGACCUACGGGUGAAAGCAGGGGAUCUUCGGACCUUGCGCGAUUGAAUGAGCCGAUGUCGGAUUAGCUAGUUGGCGGGGUAAAGGCCCACCAAGGCGACGAUCCGUAGCUGGUCUGAGAGGAUGGAAGGACACACGGGAAAGGAAACAAGGGCCAGACGACAAGGGGAGGAGGAAGGGGGGAAUAGUGAAAAAUGGGCGAAAGCCUGACCGAGCAACGCCGCGGGAGGAAGGAAGGUGUUGGGAUCGAAAAACUCUUUUGUGGGGAAAAAAAAAAUGUGGAAGAAACCCGGCAUGUCUUGACGGUACAAAAAAAAAAAGCACCGGCUAACUACGUG
rnacentral:rRNA from 1 species